rnacentral:rRNA from 1 species
UACAGGGGUCUCAAGCGUUGUUCGGAUUCAUUGGGCGUAAAGGGUGCGUAGGCGGCGAGGCAAGUCUGGUGUGAAAUCCCGGGGCUCAACUCCGGAACUGCACUGGAUACUGCUUUGCUAGAGUACUGGAGAGGGAACUGGAAUUUACGGUGUAGCAGUGAAAUGCGUAGAUAUCGUAAGGAAGACCAGCGGCGAAGGCGAGUUCCUGGACAGUAACUGACGCUGAGGCACGAAGGCCAGGGGAGCAAACGGG